UGCUUUAUACAAAGGUAUAAGGGUAAUGGAUUGUUGUCAAUACUUUAUUGAUAAUUUCUAUCAUUAAGUAUAGG
rnacentral:sRNA from 12 species